rnacentral:rRNA from 1 species
AAUUAUUAACGGAGGUUUCCCAAGGCCGGCUCAGUGCGGACGGAAACCACACACAGAGCAAAAGGGCAAAUGCUGACUUGAUCUCGGUAUUCAGUACAUACAGAGACGGCGAAAGCUUGGCCUAUCGAUCCUUUUGGUUUAAUGAGUGUUUAAUAAGAGGUGUCAGAAAAAUUACCACAGGGAUAACUGGCUUGUGGCGGC